UACAGAGGGGGCAAGCGUUGUUCGGAAUUACUGGGCGUAAAGGGCGCGUAGGCGGCCUGCUAAGUCGAACGUGAAAUCCCUGGGCUCAACCCAGGAACUGCGUCCGAUACUGGUUGGCUUGAAUCCGGGAGAGGGAUGUGGAAUUCCAGGUGUAGCGGUGAAAUGCGUAGAUAUCUGGAGGAACACCGGUGGCGAAGGCGACAUCCUGGACCGACAUUGACGCUGAGGAGCGAAAGCUAGGGGAGCAAACGGG
rnacentral:rRNA from 1 species